rnacentral:rRNA from 1 species
AUUGAACGCUGGCGGCAUGCCUUACACAUGCAAGUCGAACGGCAGCACAGUAUUAGGUCUCGCGGCCGGUGGGCGACUGGUGGAUGAUUCAGGGGAACGUCGCAAGCUGUUGGGUCUAGGGGGACGAAGGAGGGAUACAUACGCCAUUAGCGCAGACGAUCUACGGGUGAAAGCGGGGGAUCUUCGGCUCUUGCACGAGUCAAUGACCGGAUGUCGGAUUAGCUAGUUGGCGGGGUAAAGGCCCACCAAGGCGACGAUCCGUAGCUGGUCUGAGAGGACGAUCAGCCACACUGGAACUGAGACACGGUCCAGACUCCUACGGGAGGCAGCAGUGGGGAAUUUUGGACAAUGGGGGCAAGCCUGAUCCAGCCAUGCCGCGUGCGGGAAGAAGGCCUUCGGGUUGUAAAGCGCUUUUGUUCGGGAAGAAAAGCUGUGGGCUAAUACCCCGCGGGGAUGACGGUACCGGAAGAAUAAGCACCGGCUAACUUCGUG